GAUGAACGCUGGCGGCGUGCCUAAUACAUGCAAGUCGAGCGAACAGACGAGGUGCUUGCUCCUCUGACGUUAGCGGCGGACGGGUGAGUAACACGUGGAUAACCUACCUAUAAGACUGGGAUAACUUCGGGAAACCGGAGCUAAUACCGGAUAAUAUAUUGAACCGCAUGGUUCAAUAGUGAAAGAUGGUUUUGCUGUCCCUUAUAGAUGGCUCCGCGCGGCAUUAGCUAGUUGGUAAGGUAACGGCUUACAAAGGCAACGAUGCGUAGCCGACCUGAGAGGGGGAUCGGCCACACUGGAACUGAGACAGGGUCAAGACUCCUACGGAAGGCAGCAGAAGGGAAUCUUCCGCAAUGGGCGAAGGCCUGACGAGGCAACGCGGCGGGAGGAAUGAAGGUCUUCGGAUCGUAAAACUCGGUUAUAAGGGAGGAACAAAUGUGUAAGGAACUAUGCACGUAUUGACGGUACCUAAUCAGAAAGCCACGGCUAACUACGUG
rnacentral:rRNA from 1 species